rnacentral:rRNA from 1 species
AUUGAACGCUGGCGGCAUGCCUUACACAUGCAAGUCGAACGGUAACAGGUCUUCGGAUGCUGACGAGUGGCGAACGGGUGAGUAAUACAUCGGAACGUGCCUAGUAGUGGGGGAUAACUACUCGAAAGAGUGGCUAAUACCGCAUGAGAUCUACGGAUGAAAGCAGGGGAUCGCAAGACCUUGUGCUACUAGAGCGGCCGAUGGCAGAUUAGGUAGUUGGUGGGAUAAAAGCUUACCAAGCCGACGCUCUGUAGCUGGUCUGAGAGGACGAUCGGGCACACUGGGACGGGGACACGGCCCAGACUCCUACGGGAGUCAGCAGUGGGGAAUUUUGGACAAUGGGCGCAAGCCUGAUCCAGCAAUGCCGCGUGCAGGAUGAAGGCCUUCGGGUUGUAAACUGCUUUUGUACGGAACGAAAAGCCCUGGGUUAGUACCCUGGGGUCAUGACGGUACCGUAAGAAUAAGCACCGGCUAACUACGUGCCAGCCGCCGCAGUAAAAC